UUCACUGUUGCGAUUUUCAUUUCUCUGGUAGCUAAGCCAUUGUUUCUUCCCUCUUCAUUUCCGUUUAUUGCUCGUCGUUCUUUAUGGUUUCUCUCUAACACUCAUUGUUCUCCCCUUUUGUAAUUUUGACAUCUCACAUUCUAGGGUUUAUCUCUUCUGCAUCUACAUUGUUUCUAAUCUCUUCACAAUUGAUCGGUUCAAUCAAGGUUUUUCUCUUACCUCUGCAAUUUAGUGUUUAGUCCCUGAUUUUUUUAAUUUCUUUGAAUUUGGUUUAAUUAAUUUUGCUUCUGAGAUGAGGUUUAUUGUUUUUGUUCUUAGUAUAUCUAUCAUAGUUCUUACUGCGGAAUGACCAAACUAUUGUUCAUGAAAAACUUAGAGUGCCAGAGAUAGGAGGUGUAAGAAAAAGAGCUUCUGUAUAUAUAAUAUAAAUUAAAUUUGUAAUCAUAUUGUAGUAAUUAGUUUAUAAGUAAAAUAGAAGUAAAGUUGUAAUCAUACUUCUCUAAAGAUACAGAGUAGUUUCUUCAGAACCUGUGAUUACAUCUAAAUUUUUCAGAAUAUAAAUUGUAAAUGGUGCUAAAACCUCUGUGUGCAGAAAUUGUUAUUAUAACCGAUGCAAUUGAAAAAUAACCAUUGUGUUGCUUUGUCAAAUUGUUACAAUUGUUUGGUAAACUAUUUUCCUUUGCAGGGCCCCCAUCAUAUAACGCUUUGCUGUGAGACAUUUUUUAUGCUUUAUAUCCAAUCCAAGCAACAUGAAGACAAAUUUGUCUGCUUGGUUAAAUUAAAUAUUCCAAAGAAGAACAGAAUGAGUUUUAUAUGUAAUCUUAUUUUAGUCAUGCUUAAUUGACUCUGGUUAAGAAUAUUUGUUUGGUAAGGCUACCUUUUGCACCUUCACUCAACCAAAAUAAGAAUAAGAAACAUACUAAUAAUGUUGAUGUCGUAUUUUUGCUUAUGCAUAGUAUCUAUUUUUGGUUCAAACAAACACAAUAAAUAAUUCGUAUCAACAACUUGUGCUACUGUAUUAUAUUAUGACCUUUGUGUUGUUCUGAGGCGAGUUUUACCAAGUGGUGUGGAGGGCACAGUUAUAAGAGAAAGCUGCUAAAGUUUUUAUUGGUGAUUUUUCAGACUUUGCUGGUUCAAUGUUCCCUACAACAAUCAUAUAUAGCUUUCAAGGGAAGUAAGAAACUUCUUUGCAUCAUUUGGUGAUCAGAAAGAGGAGUACGAUUUUUGAAGUUGUUGUGCUUCAACUAUUACAACACCUGUUGUGGAUUCUAUAAUAUCAGAUUAAAGAUGAUGGACAAAGAGUGGACUAAACUUCCAAGAUUUAGUAAAGAGUAUGCUAAUGGUGUAGAGUUAUUUUUAGAUUUUGCAUACGCUAGCGGAAGAGCUCAAGGGAAUGAGAUCUUAUGCCCUUGUUCCAAGUGUAGAAAUCUUUAUUGGGCAACAAGAAAUGUGGUCUAUGAUCAUUUAAUAGCUAAAGGAUUUCUAAAAGGAUACAACACUUGGGUAAACCAUGGGGAGUCAAUACAAUCAUUGCCUACUCCAAGUGAUGACGACAUGGAAGAUAAUAUAGAUGGAUUAUUGCAUGACACAUUUAGAAAUGUGGUAGAAGGAAG